CCAGCCCGUAAGCUCAACCCAAAUUUAAGGUACAACCAGGUAUUUCACCCUCAAAUCAAUGGCAGUCCAGUAUUUCAGCCUUGUCUUCCUUAUAAACCCUGACAUUCGGCUCUGUGUAUCUAUUCCUCUCCACCAUUUCCAUCACUGACCAUCACCACCCCCUCUUUCCACUUCACACACACACCCAAUGGUGGUAAAGGCUCUGGAGGGACUGCCAUUGGCACAGAAAUCCGUUGAUGGUUUGCUCAAAAGCUAUGAGAUAUGAGGGCCUCUAAUUUCUUUUCACCACUUUUUGCAAAAUAGCCAUUUUUUGCAUUUGUUCAUAAAUAAUUUUUUGAUUGAUAAACAAUGAUGAUGCAUGCACUGGACUUUGAACAGUUUUUUUGUUUCUUUUUUUGAAACAUAGCCUGUAAUCUUGAUGCACAUGCAGCCUACUAUGCCUAUCUUACCCACCCAAGGUUCCUCUUUUUUUUUUUUUUUUUUGUGUGUGUGUGUGUGUGUUCUAAAGUAUGUUAUUAAAGAAUUUUCUGUAACAAGAUUUCAACUUUAUUUAUGGGAUAAUGUUGGGCGUUAGCAAUAGACACUGUAAUAUCGUUUGAUUUGAUUCUUUUGGUGUGUUAACAGUGUGUUCCUACUAUUGCAAUUGCUUCCCUUAUGUACUGAUGAGGAACCCGCAUUUUUUUAUUGAUUUUAUGUUUGGCAUACCUGCAUGUGGUUUUCGCCCAAUGAUGGAAAACUCAUUGAAAGAGAGUAGUAUUUCUGGUUUUCAUUUAGUGGGUUUACUAUCAUCGUCCCAUGUCAUCAUUAUCAUCAUCAUCAUCAUUAUUAUCAUCAUCAUCAUAAGUCCCUAAUUUGUUUCCUCUCUCUUUCUCCCGCUCUCUAUCUGUACGCACACUUAUAUAUAUGUCUAUCAUUUCUGUCUAUAAUCUAUCUAUCUUCUUAUUGACAGGGCUGAUGAUUUGUAAAUUCUCUUUAUGAGGAACAGUUUGUUAAUACUACAAUGGCCAAGCAUAGCUAUGAGAUCUGAGGGCUUUAUUGAUCAUUUAGACAUCCCUAAUUGAUGAAUUCAUACCUAUUUUGUUGGACCGCCCCAAUCCUUUAUGAAAGUAUGGCUUCUAUAGGACUAAAGCCAUUUGCUACCCAGGAGAAGGCUGAAGCACCCAUUGGCUUUUUUGGCUAGAGAAGUGAUAACCAACCAAGAACUGAAAUAUGGUUUUGUGUGCUAUGCUUUGCUCAUUUAUAUAUUUGUUUUUGUUUAAAGCCUUUUGUGCUCACAUUUACAAUGUUUAAUCCUUUCAAGUCUAGAGAAAUCUGUAGUGUAAUGUUAUAAUAGCAUAGGGUACGUAUAUGAAUGAUAUGAACACUGCAUUGUCAUUUCUACUUGUCGGGGUUGUCAUCCUUAGAAUUUUCAAGCCUUCAUGUGGAUUUAAGCUUGUAAUUGACAAUGGCGCUCAAAGUUUUUAAAUAUCGCAGUUUGAGAUAAA